rnacentral:lncRNA from 1 species
GUGUUCCUGGAAGGUCGGCAUGGAGUUGAGCCCGGGACCACGGAGGAGCUGGCUUCUGUUCUCUCAUUUCAAGAACGUCUACAUUCCCGAAUCUGCCCCCAUGUGUCCUUGAAAACCAGUCACAGAAUCCUCCAGAUCUUCUGGAUCCUGCAGUCCCAAAGAUUGCACAGGGCAGUGAACUUUUGAGCUGCCCUGCUACCCCAGCCACGGCGGCAAUCAACUGCCCUGGCUUGCCUGGCGGCUUGUCCCAACUUUAGGACUCAAAGUCCCGUGCCCUCAGAGACCCUUCAGUGCCAGGCAGCCAGAACAAUGGGUGGUCCUACCCUGAAGCCUCCUUCUGGAUCAUGAGCCUCCCCUGAGGCCAGGACUCAUCUGUCCUGCGGUGCACAGCUCAGCCAGGUCAGGCUUGUCCCCUUCUCUGUCCUCGGGAUUCUGAAGGCUGGAGUGAGAGAAACGCAUUGAACAGGAGUCGUCUGCAGCGUAAGUACGUUAAACUCAGCCAUUUAGAGCAAUUUAGCCAUGAUGGCACAUAAAAACUGCCUGGGAUUCUUGAAACAUCUAUUACUGGGCGGAACUUGAGUACGAUGACAUAGUCAAGGCCAGUCUCCUGGUCCAGCAGGAGGAUGUGCUAGCUUUGACCCCGAGGCUUUUGGGAUUGUGUGGACUUGUGCCGUUUUGGAGGUCUGCUUUCUCCAUGCUGACUUAGAUCCCAUGGUGUGCUUUCUAGUCAGUCAACUAAAAGGAAAAAUUCUAACUUGAAUCAUUUUUUUUUCUUGCAACCAAAAGAACCAUCAAUAUUAGACAAGCACAGUCAAU